rnacentral:lncRNA from 1 species
CACGCGGCGGGCGGGAGCCGGGGCCUGUGAGGCGGCGUCGUAGGAGGCGAAGCGGCGCGGUCGCAGCAGCAGUGGAGGCCGCGGGUUCCGCAGGAGCCGAAAUUGGGGGAGAGUUUAACCAUUUGCGACAAAGACAAGGUGUUUAAGAGCUGAGAACCACAGUUAAUAGGAGACUUUCACAAGGUAUGUAAAUACAGUCUUGUGUCUGGUCAAUUUUCAAAUGUUACAUGUUUGCAAAUAAUAUGUGC